rnacentral:lncRNA from 1 species
UCUAGAGGUUGGGCAUAGCAUGUAUCAAAACAUCUUGUUCAUUCCACAGACCAGAAACAGACAAGCAACAUAGGGACCCCAGGUAAGGGAGACAGAGACUCUGUAUACAGACAGCACACUAUACAGGGACCCCAGGUAAGGGAGACAGACUCUGUAUACAGACAGCACACUAUACAGGAACCCCAGGUAAGGGAGACAGAGACUCUGUAUACAGACAGCACACUAUACAGGGACCCCAGGUAAGGGAGACAGACUCUGUAUACAGACAGCACACUAUACAGGGACCCCAGGUAAAGGAGACAGAGACUCUGUAUACAGACAGCACACUAUACAGAGACCCCAGGUAAAGGAGACAGAGACUCUGUAUACAGACAGCACACUAUACAGGACCCCAGGUAAAGGAGACAGAGACUCUGUAUACAGACAGCACACUAUACAGGGACCCCAGGUAAAGGAGACAGAGACUCUGUAUACAGACAGCACACUAUACAGGGACCCCAGGUAAGGAGACAGAGACUCUGUAUACAGACAGCACACUAUACAGGGACCCCAGGUAAGGAGACAGACUCUGUAUACAGACAGCACACUAUACAGGGACCCCAGGUAAAGGAGACAGACACUCUGUAUACAGACAGCACACUAUACAGGGACCCCAGGUAAAGGAGACACAGACUCUGUAUACAGACAGCACACUAUACAGGGACCCCAGGUAAGGGAGACAGACUCUGUAUACAGACAGCACACUAUACAGGGACCCCAGGUAAAGGAGACAGAGACUCUGUAUACAGACAGCACACUAUACAGGAGACCCCAGGUAAAGGAGACAGAGACUCUGUAUACAGACAGCACACUAUACAGGAACCCCAGGUAAAGGAGACAGAGACUCUGUAUACAGACAGCACACUAUACAGGGACCCCAGGUAAAGGAGACAGACUCUGUAUACAGACAGCACACUAUACAGGGACCCCAGGUAAAGGAGACAGAGACUCUGUAUACAGACAGCACACUAUACAGGGACCCCAGGUAAAGGAGACAGAGACUCUGUAUACAGACAGCACACUAUACAGGGACCCCAGGUAAAGGAGACACAGACUCUGUAUACAGACAGCACACUAUACAGGGACCCCAGGUAAGGGAGAGACAGACUCUGUAUACAGACAGCACACUAUACAGGGACCCCAGGUAAGGGAGACAGAGACUCUGUAUACAGACAGCACACUAUACAGGAACCCCAGGUAAAGGAGACACAGACUCUGUAUACAGACAGCACACUAUACAGGGACCCCAGGUAAAGGAGAGACAGACUCUGUAUACAGACAGCACACUAUACAGGGACCCCAGGUAAAGGAGAGACAGACUCUGUAUACAGACAGCACACUAUACAGGAACCCCAGGUAAAGGAGACACAGACUCUGUAUACAGACAGCACACUAUACAGGGACCCCAGGUAAAGGAGAGACAGAAUCUGUAUACAGACAGCACACUAUACAGGGACCCCAGGUAAGGGAGACACAGACUCUGUAUACAGACAGCACACUAUACAGGAACCCCAGGUAAGGGAGACAGAGACUCUGUAUACAGACAGCACACUAUACAGGGACCCCAGGUAAAGGAGAGACAGACUCUGUAUACAGACAGCACACUAUACAGGGACCCCAGGUAAGGGAGACACAGACUCUGUAUACAGACAGCACACUAUACAGGGACCCCAGGUAAAGGAGACAGAGACUCUGUAUACAGACAGCACACUAUACAGGGACCCCAGGUAAAGGAGACACAGACUCUGUAUACAGACAGCACACUAUACAGGGACCCCAGGUAAGGGAGAGACAGACUCUGUAUACAGACAGCACACUAUACAGGGACCCCAGGUAAGGGAGACAGAGACUCUGUAUACAGACAGCACACUAUACAGGAACCCCAGGUAAAGGAGACACAGACUCUGUAUACAGACAGCACACUAUACAGGGACCCCAGGUAAAGGAGAGACAGACUCUGUAUACAGACAGCACACUAUACAGGGACCCCAGGUAAAGGAGAGACAGACUCUGUAUACAGACAGCACACUAUACAGGAACCCCAGGUAAAGGAGACACAGACUCUGUAUACAGACAGCACACUAUACAGGGACCCCAGGUAAAGGAGAGACAGAAUCUGUAUACAGACAGCACACUAUACAGGGACCCCAGGUAAGGGAGACACAGACUCUGUAUACAGACAGCACACUAUACAGGAACCCCAGGUAAGGGAGACAGAGACUCUGUAUACAGACAGCACACUAUACAGGGACCCCAGGUAAGGGAGACAGACUCUGUAUACAGACAGCACACUAUACAGGGACCCCAGGUAAAGGAGACAGAGACUCUGUAUACAGACAGCACACUAUACAGGACCCCAGGUAAAGGAGACAGAGGCUUUCAGCCACAGACAGCACACACUAUACAGGGACCCCAGGUAAAAAGGAGAACAGACUCUGUAUACAGACAGCACACUAUACACAGGGACCCCAGGUAGGAGACACACAGACUUUCUGUAUACAGACAGCACUAUACAGGGACCCCAGGUAAAGGAGACAGAGGCUCUGUGCCACAGACAGCACACUGCAAGAGACCCCACGGAGUACAAGGAGACAGAGACUCUGUAUACAGACCCCAGCACACUAUACAGAGACCCCCAGGUAAAGAGACAGAACUCUGUAGCCACAGACAGCACUCUCUGAGGGACCCCAGGUAAAGGAGACAGAGACUCUGUAUACAGACAGCACACUAUACAGGGACCCCAGGUAAAGGAGAGACAGACUCUGUAUACAGACAGCACACUAUACAGGGACCCCAGGUAAAGGAGACAGAGACUCUGUAUACAGACAGCACACUAUACAGGGACCCCAGGUAAAGGAGAGACAGACUCUGUAUACAGACAGCACACUAUACAGGGACCCCAGGUAAGGGAGACACAGACUCUGUAUACAGACAGCACACUAUACAGGGACCCCAGGUAAAGGAGACAGAGACUCUGUAUACAGACAGCACACUAUACAGGGACCCCAGGUAAGGGAGACAGAGACUCUGUAUACAGACAGCACACUAUACAGGGACCCCAGGUAAGGGAGACAGAGACUCUGUAUACAGACAGCACACUAUACAGGGACCCCAGGUAAAGGAGACAGAGACUCUGUAUACAGACAGCACACUAUACAGAGACCCCAGGUAAAGGAGACACAGACUCUGUAUACAGACAGCACACUAUACAGGGACCCCAGGUAAGGGAGACAGACUCUGUAUACAGACAGCACACUAUACAGGGACCCCAGGUAAAGGAGACAGAGACUCUGUAUACAGACAGCACACUAUACAGAGACCCCAGGUAAAGGAGACAGAGACUCUGUAUACAGACAGCACACUAUACAGGGACUCCAGGUAAGGGAGAGACAGACUCUGUAUACAGACAGCACACUAUACAGGAACCCCAGGUAAAGGAGACAGAGACUCUGUAUACAGACAGCACACUAUACAGGGACCCCAGGUAAAGGAGACAGAGACUCUGUAUACAGACAGCACUCUAUACAGGGACCCCAGGUAAAGGAGACAGAGACUCUGUAUACAGACAGCACACUAUACAGAGACCCCAGGUAAAGGAGACAGAGACUCUGUAUACAGACAGCACACUAUACAGAGACCCCAGGUAAAGGAGACAGAGACUCUGUAUACAGACAGCACACUAUACAGGGACCCCAGGUAAAGGAGAGACAGACUCUGUAUACAGACAGCACACUAUACAGGAAUCCCAGGUAAAGGAGACACAGACUAUGUAUACAGACAGCACACUAUACAGGGACCCAAGGUAAGGGAGACAGACUCUGUAUACAGACAGCACACUAUACAGGAACCCCAGGUAAAGGAGACACAGACUCUGUAUACAGACAGCACACUAUACAGGGACCCAAGGUAAGGGAGACAGACUCUGGUAAUAAUAACUGGGGGAUAUACUGGGGGGUAAUACUCACUGGGGGAUAUACUGGGGGGUAAUACUCACGGGGGGAUAUACUGGGUAGGGUAAUACUCACUGGGGGAUAUACUGGGUAGGGUAAUACUCACUGGGGGAUAUACUGGGUAGAGUAAUACUCACUGGGGGAUAUACUGGGUAGGGUAAUACUCACUGGGGGAUAUACUGGGUAGGGUAAUACUCACUGGGGGAUAUACUGGGUAGGGUAAUACUCACUGGGGAUUAUGCUGAGGGGUAAUACUCACUGGGGGAUAUGCUGAGGGGUAAUACUCACUGGGGGAUAUGAGGGGUAAUAUUUACUGGGGAUAUACUGAGGGGUAAUACUUACUGGGGGGUAUAUACUGAGGGAUAAUACUCACUGGGGGAUAUGCUGAGGGGUAAUAUUUACUGGGGGAUAUACUGAGGGAUAAUACUCACUGGAGCAUAUACUGAGUGGCAUUACUCACUGGGGGGAUAUACUGAGGGGUAAUACUCACUGGGGGGGAUAUACUGAGGGGUAAUACUCACUGGGGGGGGGGAUAUACUGAGGGGUAAUACUCACUGGAAGAUAUGCUGAGGGGUAAUACUCACUGGGGGGAUACUUAUUGGUAAUACUCACGAGUGAAUAGACAGAGAGGUAACACAUGGAUACAGGUAGGUACGAACAGAUAGGGACAUUAGUGAAUGUGGUUGUCUUUGAUUUGUAGGUAGAAACAUCUUCCAGAAUGCUGAAGCAAUUUCUUCUUGUGUCCAUCUCCCUCCAACUCCUAGUGAACUGUAAGGGACAGGUGAGUGUGGCACUCUGAGAAUAGGGACAGGAGGUAAGUGAGACUGAGAAUAGUCACAGUAACGGGGAUUGAGGGCCUGCUCAGUGAGUUUACAUGUUAGAGGGAGUGGGGUAUAGUGACACAGUAACAGAGGGAUUGAGGGUCUGCUCAGUGAGUUUACAUGUUAGAGGGAGUGGGGUAUAGUGACACAGUAACAGAGGGAUUGAGGGCCUGCUCAGUGAGUUUACAUGUUAGAGGGAGUGGGGUAUAGUGACACAGUAACAGAGGGAUUGAGGGCCCUGCUCAGUGAGUUUACAUGUUAGAGGGAGAGGGGUAUGGUGACACACAGUAACAGAGGAUUGAGGCCCUGUCAGUGAGUUUACAUGUUAGAGGGAGUGGAGGUAUGGUAACCAGUAACAGAGGAUUGAGUGACACCCGCUCGUGAGUUUACAUGUUAGAGGUGGGGUAUGAGUGACAGUGCUGGAGGAUUGAGGCCCACGGCUCAGUGAGGUUUACAUGUUGGAGGUGGGGUAUAGUGACAGUAACAGAGGGAUUGAGGGCCCUGCUC